rnacentral:lncRNA from 1 species
CUCCAUAUCCUUGUGUUGAAAAUUGUGUCUCUGCAGGUAUUAGUUUAGCCAUUCAGCUUGUCCAUGUGCCAAAUGUAGAAGGUAUGUUUUUUUUCUGAGAACGCACCAAUGCGGUUAUGUAAUUCACUUGCAGGAGAGCUGGCUGAACUCCCUACCAACUCAGGACAAUUCCAGUGAAGAACAAUGGAAUUAUGUAAACACGGAUGUCUGUAACUGAGGUCAGUCCUAUCAAUACCUAACACUAGAAUUGCCUCCAAAAGAAGCCACUUCUUUAUCCACUCGUUCUGCUACUCUGCUCCUUGUAUUCACUUCUGUUGUGCUGACUUGGGAAUGGGUUGGAUUGUCUAGUGAACAGAGCUGGGGAAACUGCUCAGAGAAGAACGUACUAAUAUGCCAUGCAAGUGAAUGUAUACUUCAUGGUAGCAUCCAUGUCUGAAGGUUGGAAUACAGCUCAGUAUGUCCAAAGCUAUUUGUUAUUUGGAAGAAGAAAGAGAAUCAGCACCAUCCACAUUUUCUGGAAUAGAACACAGGACAACUUGUGCUACAGGGAAGAGAUGGACCUGCCAGUUGGGACACAUUUAUUUCUCUACGGCUUGGGUAAAUAUCAAGAAGUGCUUUGAGGAGAUAGCCCUUCCAGGUGUUCUGAGCAGCUGCAUAAGCAGUUCCACACUGACCUGUUCCAGAUACGGGAGAUGCACCCAGUUCUCUUUGAAUACACUAGAGAAAUGGCCAGCAUCCUUUUGCAUCUCAAGACAGCUAGGUAUUGUGAGUGUAAUUCAACUGCCUGCUCCAAGUGGGGCUAACUUCAAAGUCAGAUCAAGUUGAUCAGGCAUUGUACAAUCAAGUUUUGAGGAUUUCCAAGGAUGAAGGUAGGGUAACUCACCCGUGCCAAUGUGCCAAUGUGAGAACCCCCCUAUUGCGAUCUGUUCAGCUUAUGGCUAUGUCCUUCUUCUGACUAGUGAACAUUGCCUUCUAUUCUUUUGCUGUGCAUCUCCAACCAUUCUGGCUCUGUCUCUUCUGUAAACCCUGGAAUUCAACUGAAGAAGGCAAAAUUGGUCCCCUUGAAACCAUCUCUUCCCUAAGCUGAGCAAACCAAGUUUCCUUGGUUUGCACAACACAUGCUCCAGCUCCUUUUGUCCUAACGGUCUGUCCCCAGACUUACUACAGUGUCUUCAUAUUUCUUUGUCAGUCCUCCAGCUGGGGUCUAAGAAUUGCUGCAUAUAGGGGAAACAUCACUUCUCUCAAGCUGCUGGUUAUGCUUUUACUAAUUUGGCCCAGUGUACAACACUGCUGCAAGGUUGCACUGCUGCUCAUAUUCAGCCUGUCAGUUACCAGCACCUCCAGCUCUUUCUCUUCAAAUCUUAAAAUUACAGAAUCAUAGAAUACUUUGAGUUUGAAGGGACACAUGAGGAUCAUUGAGUCCAAAUCCUGGAUCCACAUAUGACCACCAAAAAAUCAAACUCUGUGUCUGGGAGUGUUAUCCAAAUGCAACCCUGUCCAUGGCAGGGGGUUGGAGCUUGAUGAACUUUAAUGUCCCUUCCAACCCAAGCCAUUCUGUGAUUCUAUUCUAUGAUUCUUGAACUCCAGCAGGUUGGGACUGUGACCACUGCCCUGACAAGCCUGUUCCAUGCCCACCACUCUCUGAUGAAGAACUUCUUCCUAAUAUUCAACCUGAAUCUCCGCUGAUGCAGCUCCAUGAUCUGUCAGGUCCUGUUGCUGUCAACAGAGAGAAGAUGUUAGUGCCUCCUCUUCUCUGGGCUGAACAAAACAAGGGAGCUCAUCCACUCCUUGCACGUCUUGCCCUUGAGGCCCUUCACUGUCUUCAUAGUUCUCCAUGUGCAUUCAGUACAUUUCUCUAUUUAGCUGUAUACCCUUGGACUCAUAUAAUUUCCCUAAUGAAAAACUACAAUACUAAAUGACCAAGAGUGUGAUUUCCUGCACAGAAACUCAGGAAGAUGAAGAUGGCUCUCCAUCAUCAUCAGGAAUGCAAGCACUAAGAUUGUUUUGAUCCAUUUACUAGUCCAAAUCUAGAUUAUGCCAAGUCUAAGAUACAUUUAAACAAUAAAAGGAGUUUAUCUGCAGCUGGAUUUUGACUC